AUAAUUACCUGGCAGAGGAAACACCAUGAUCACGAAGGUGAUUUUCCUAGGAUGAGGCUCACCCAUUGCACUGUGGGUGGGCUGACCUCUGAGAUUUCCCCAAAUGCGGGAAACUCAGCUGCAUAAUUUGUGGUAGUGGAGGACAGCAUGCGCGGUCUCCCCUG
ensembl:snRNA U1 U1 spliceosomal RNA